UACGUAGGGUGCGAGCGUUAAUCGGAAUUACUGGGCGUAAAGCGUGCGCAGGCGGUUUUGUAAGUCAGAUGUGAAAUCCCCGGGCUUAACCUGGGAAAUGCGUUUGAAACUACAAGGCUAGAGUGUGGCAGAGGGGGGUGGAAUUCCACGUGUAGCAGUGAAAUGCGUAGAGAUGUGGAGGAACACCGAUGGCGAAGGCAGCCCCCUGGGUUAACACUGACGCUCAGGCACGAAAGCGUGGGGAGCAAACAGG
rnacentral:rRNA from 1 species